CCAUUCUUUGCGCAGUAUUUCAGAGUGAUGUCAUCUUGAAGCAUGUUAGGUUUGAAAAACCAUCAGUCAAAAUUACAUUUGAUUUAUUGACACGUAUAUAUUGUUAAAAUUUGGACAUUUACAUAAACACGCCCCUUUCAGCCAUUUUGUAUCGUAUUCAUUUUUCCUAAGUAACGUUUUCAAGGAUGUCCAUUCUACACAUGUGUACCAAAUUUCAAGUCAAUUGGAGCUACGGUUCAGGAGAAGAAGAGUUUUGUAGGUUUUCGCAAAUUUUCAACGUACGGGAAAAUCCAUCAUGGCGGAAGUUAUGGGUUCUUGAGGCUUUUUUGUUCCCCAUGAGGAAUGAGGCAUGUACACCAAAUUUCAGAAGAUUUGGACAAAUGGCGUGGAAAUUGUAUCACUUUGAAUUUUGUUUUUUUGGGCGUGGCCUGUAGCGCCACCUAUGGGCGAAUGUGGGCCAUUCUUGGUUUGGGGGUACCCGUUGGCAUGGAGUAUCAAUGUGCCAAUUUAGAAAAUUUUUGA